rnacentral:rRNA from 1 species
GACGAACGCUGGCGGCGUGCCUAAUACAUGCAAGUCGAACGCAGUGGGGACGGGUGAGUAACACGUGGGUAACCUCCCAUCAGAGGGGAUAACACUUGGAAAAAGGUGCUAAACCGAUACGGAUGGCUGGACCCGGGGUGCAUUAGCUAGUUGGUGAUGUAACGGCUCCCCAAGGAGACGAUGCAUAGCUGACCUGAGAGGGUGAGCGGCCACACUGGGACUGAGACACGGCCCAGACUCCUACAGGAGGAAGCAGUAGGGAAGCUUCGGCAAUGGACGAAAGUCUGAACGAGCAACGCCGCGUGAGUGAAGAAGGUUUUCGGAUCGUAAAACUCUGUUGUUAGAGAAGCGGUAUCUAACCAGAAAGCCACGGCUAACUACGUGCCAGCCGCCGCGGUAAUAC